rnacentral:rRNA from 1 species
CCAUUGNGCCAUCCCCUUGAGUUGAUCAUGGCUCAGAACGAACGCUGGCGGCAUGCCUAACACAUGCAAGUCGAACGAGACCUUCGGGUCUAGUGGCGCACGGGUGCGUAACGCGUGGGAAUCUGCCCUCUGGUACGGAACAACUCAGGGAAACUUGAGCUAAUACCGUAUAAUGACUUCGGUCCAAAGAUUUAUCGCCUGAGGAUGAGCCCGCGUCGGAUUAGCUAGUUGGUGAGGUAAAGGCUCACCAAGGCGACGAUCCGUAGCUGGUCUGAGAGGAUGAUCAGCCACACUGGGACUGAGACACGGCCCAGACUCCUACGGGAGGCAGCAGUGGGGAAUAUUGGACAAUGGGCGAAAGCCUGAUCCAGCAAUGCCGCGUGAGUGAUGAAGGCCUUAGGGUUGUAAAGCUCUUUUACCCGGGAUGAUAAUGACAGUACCGGGAGAAUAAGCCCCGGCUAACUCCGUGCCAGCAGCCGCGGUAAUACGGAGGGGGCUAGCGUUGUUCGGAAUUACUGGGCGUAAAGCGCACGUAGGCGGCUUUGUAAGUUAGAGGUGAAAGCCCGGGGCUCAACUCCGGAAUUGCCUUUAAGACUGCAUCGCUAGAAUUGUGGAGAGGUAAGUGGAAUUCCGAGUGUAGAGGUGAAAUUCGUAGAUAUUCGGAAGAACACCAGUGGCGAAGGCGACUUACUGGACACAUAUUGACGCUGAAGUGCGAAAGCGUGGGGAAGCAACAGGAUUAGAUACCCCGAUAGUCCUGGCCUUAACGAA